rnacentral:rRNA from 1 species
GUCGAACGAGAGACCUUCGGGUCUCUAGUGGCGAACGGGUGAGUAACACGUAGGGAACCUGCCCGCGCACCGGGAAUACGCUCUGGAAACGGAGAACAAAUCCCGAUGUACAGGAAGGAGGCAUCUUCUUUCUGUGAAACAUCCUCUAGGGGAUGGGGCGCGGAUGGACCUGCGGUGCAUUAGUUGGUUGGCGGGGUAAAGGCCCACCAAGACGAUGAUGCAUAGCCGGCCUGAGAGGGCGGACGGCCACAUUGGGACUGAGACACGGCCCAGACUCCUGCGGGAGGCAGCAGUAGGGAAUUUUCGUCAAUGGGCGCAAGCCUGAACGAGCGAUGCCGCGUGAGUGAAGAAGGCCUUCGGGUCGUAAAGCUCUGUUGCGGGGGAAAAAAGGCAGCAUCAGGAAAUGGGUGCUGACUGAUGGUGCCCCGCCAGAAAGUCACGGCUAACUACGUGCCAGCAGCCGCGGUAAUACGUAGGUGGCGAGCGUUAUCCGGAAUGAUUGGGCGUAAAGGGUGCGCAGGCGGUCCUGCAAGUCUGGAGUGAAACGCAUGAGCUCAACUCAUGCAUGGCUUUGGAAACUGGAGGACUGGAGAGCAGGAGAGGGCGGUGGAACUCCAUGUGUAGCGGUAAAAUGCGUAGAUAUAUGGAAGAACACCAGUGGCGAAGGCGGCCGCCUGGCCUGUUGCUGACGCUGAGGCACGAAAGCGUGGGGAGCAAAUAGGAUUAGAUACCCUAGUAGUCCACGCCGUAAACGAUGAGGACCAAGUGUUGGGG